UAUACCGUAUAUGCUUGAUCAGAGGCCGCUCUUGUAUAAAGGCCGCACUCAAAUAGUAGCCUCCCUUGCUAGCAAAAUGAAACAUUUAGUAGCCGCUCUCAAAUAGUAGCCUCAGUGAACUUUGACUCUAGCAUUUCUGCACGUGGCAGCCAAAAAAAUUAUUACUAGCAGCUAGCUACAUGUACGUAGCUACAAGUAGCAGCUUGUUAGUGCUUCACAAAGACUUUCUCAUGGCAGAGUUCAAGUUUAUGCAGGUGGAAACAACUUUUGAUGACAAACUAAAUUAUCUGGAGCUAAUAAACGCCGCUCUUGAACAGUGGCCUCUCUUGAAUUGUAGCCUCCUCUUCUAGCCUCGAUCCCAGGCCGAGUUUUCGCUUUUAUAACGGUUAGGCGAACAACUGGGCCUGGUACUAGUUGUCUGCGCAUGCGUCAAUCGUUUGUCAGAUUCUGACGAAUGGAUAUUCUCGUUCACUUUCGUGACAUUUAUAUUUGUGUACUAUCGUGUACUAGAAGUCAGUUCCCGUUUUAUCAUUAUUGGACUUGAUUGGAAUGGCUCUUAGCUGAAGCUUCUCUCUUCUCUGAAGCUUAUUCUGAAGACUGAACAACAAGGGAAGAGGUAUAAAGCUUUGUCAAGCUUGUUAAGGUCAGAUAUUUUUGUGUGGGCCCUAUGGCCGGCUAUGCUAUCAAGUCUUGUUCAUGUUUGGCAAGAAUGUAGGUAGACUAUAGUUUCAUUAUUAAUAUGGUGGAUCAAGUGAAGAGUGUGAGCUAGAGAACUUGGUGCUGCCAUCAUCAGCUCGUCGACAAUGACACUAUAACCGAGAAAUUUAAUAUGUAUAGAUCUACACGUAUUUAAAAUGUCUACUUCUCUGUACAGGAGCAAUGGCUAAUAUCCAGCUAUCCCAACAGUGCUCCUCUUGGCUAUACUAACGGACGAGACUGGACAGUUUGAGACACAGGACUGGAGUAUGACCUGCUCAUUCGAGCGUUGCUGGGUAGCUCAGAGACAUCAAGAGAAUCUACGUUUUCUCAAGCAAUGAGUUACGAGUUGGGGCCUAGAAUCAGAGAAGUCCAGCAGCCUGCUAAAUCUUUUUGAAACGUAAUUUGAAGGCAUUCAAUCAUCCUGAAGUUGCCCUGGGUCACUGUAAUUGUGCUGCAGCACAACUGGCAACUCCCCAGGCCUUUGUGAAGCAGCUCCCUAUGUGCAUCUUUUGUGUACUCACUCUGUGCAUUUUCUGUGUACAAAUUUUGAUUAUUGAUUUAUUAAAUAUUUUUGCCGACCACAAAUAUACAAUGAAAA